rnacentral:ncRNA from 12 species
GGCGGAUGUAGCCAAGUGGAUCAAG